UACGUAGGGUGCAAGCGUUAAUCGGAAUUAUUGGGCGUAAAGCGCGCGUAGGCGGCCCUGUAAGUCCGCUGUAAAAGUCAAAGGCUCAACCUUUGAAAGCCGGUGGAUACUGCAGGGCUAGAGUCCGGAAGAGGCGAGUGGAAUUCCUGGUGUAGCGGUGGAAUGCGCAGAUAUCAGGAGGAACACCAAUAGCGAAGGCAGCUCGCUGGGACGGUACUGACGCUAAGGCGCGAAAGCGUGGGGAGCGAACAGG
rnacentral:rRNA from 1 species